UACGUAGGGGGCGAGCGUUGUCCGGAUUUAUUGGGCGUAAAGAGCGUGUAGGCGGCUUGGUAGGUCUGCUGUGAAAACCCGAGGCUCAACCUCGGGCCUGCAGUGGGUACGGGCAGACUAGAGUGUGGUAGGGGAGACUGGAAUUCCUGGUGUAGCGGUGGAAUGCGCAGAUAUCAGGAGGAACACCAAUGGCGAAGGCAGGUCUCUGGGCCACAACUGACGCUGAGGAGCGAAAGCGUGGGGAGCGAACAGG
rnacentral:rRNA from 1 species